rnacentral:rRNA from 1 species
UACGGAGGAUGCGAGCGUUAUCCGGAUUUAUUGGGUUUAAAGGGUGCGUAGGCGGGAUGCCAAGUCAGCGGUAAAAAUGCGGUGCUCAACGCCGUCGAGCCGUUGAAACUGGCGUUCUUGAGUGGGCGAGAAGUAUGCAGAAUGCGUGGUGUAGCGGUGAAAUGCAUAGAUAUCACGCAGAACUCCGAUUGCGAAGGCGGCAUACCGGCGCCCUACUGACGCUGAGGCACGAAAGCGUGGGUAUCGAACAGG